UACGGGGGGGCGAAGCGUUGUUCGGAAUUACUGGGCGUAAAGGCUCGUAGGCGGCCAACUAAGUCGGACGUGAAAUCCCUCGGCUUAACCGGGAACUGCGUCCGAUACUGGAUGGCUGGAGGUUGGGAGAGGGAUGCGGAAUUCCAGGUGUAGCGGUGAAAUGCGUAGAGAUCGGGAGGAACACCUGUGGCGAAGGCGGCUCGCUGGCCGGUCCUGACGCUGAGACGCGAAGGCGUGGGAGCGAACGGG
rnacentral:rRNA from 1 species